ACCGCAAACCGACACAGGUAGGUGAGGAGAGAAUCCUAAGGCCGGCGGAAGAAUUACAGUUAAGGAACUCGGCAAAUUGACCCCGUAAGUUCGCGAGAAGGGGUGCCUACGAGAGUAGGCCGCAGAGAAUAGGCCCAAGCAACUGUUUAGCAAAAACACAGGUCUCUGCUAAAGCGUAAGCUGAUGUAUAGGGGCUGACGCCUGCCCGGUGCUGGAAGGUUAAGGGGAACACUUAGCGCAAGCGAAGGUGUGAACUUAAGCCCCAGUAAACGGCGGCCGUAACUAUAACGGUCCUAAGGUAGCGAAAUUCCUUGUCAGGUAAGUUCUGACCCGCACGAAUGGCGUAAUGACUUGGGCACUGUCUCAACUGUAAAUCCGGCGAAGUUGUAGUGCGAGUGAAGAUGCUCGCUACCCGCGAUUGGACGGAAAGACCCCGUAGAGCUUUACUGUAGCUUAGCAUUGAGUUUUGGUAUUGUCUGUACAGGAUAGGUGGGAGACUAGGAAACCAGGGCGUCAGCCUUGGUGGAGUCAACCUUGGGAUACCACCCUGACAGUACUGAAAUUCUAACUGGCGGCCAUGAAUCUGGUCACAGGACAUUGUUAGGUGGGCAGUUUGACUGGGGCGG
rnacentral:rRNA from 1 species